rnacentral:rRNA from 1 species
GUGGGGAAUAUUGGACAAUGGGCGCAAGCCUGAUCCAGCCAUGCCGCGUGAGUGAUGAAGGCCUUAGGGUUGUAAAGCUCUUUCAGUGGGGACGAUAAUUACGGUACCCACAGAAGAAGCCCCGGCUAACUUCGUGCCAGCAGCCGCGGUAAUACGAAGGGGGCUAGCGUUGUUCGGCUUUACUGGGCGUAAAGCGCACGUAGGCGGAUCGUUAAGUCGGGGGUGAAAUCCUGGAGCUCAACUCCAGAACUGCCUUCGAUACUGGCGAUCUUGAGUCCGGAAGAGGUGAGUGGAACUCCUAGUGUAGAGGUGGAAUUCGUAGAUAUUCGGAGGAACACCAGUGGCGAAGGCGGCUCACUGGCUCGGUACUGACGCUGAGGUGCGAAAGCGUGGGGAGCAAACAGGAUUAGAAACCUGGGUAGUCC